rnacentral:rRNA from 1 species
CCUGUAGUCAAAAUAAUAAUUCUUUAGGUAUGAUCCAGAGUACCACGGGACACGUGAAACCCUGUGGGAAGCAGGAGGGACCACCCUCCAAGGCUAAAUACUACCUAGUGACCGAUAGCGUAUAGUACCGUGAGGGAAAGGUGAAAAGAACCCCGGGAGGGGAGUGAAAUAGAACCUGAAACCCUGCACUUACAAGCUGUGGAAGCACAUUUCUUGUGUGACCGCGUACUUUUUGUAGAACGGGCCAACGAGUUACGUUAAGUAGCAAGGUUAAGCACUUAAGGUGUGGAGCCGUAGCGAAAGCGAGUUUUAACUGAGCGUUCAGUUACUUGACGUAGACCCGAAACCGGGCGACCUACCCAUGAGCAGGAUGAAGCGAAAGUAAAAUUUCGUGGAGGUCCGAACCCACGAGCGUUGAAAAGCUCGGGGAUGACUUGUGGGUAGCGGUGAAAUUCCAAUCGAGCCCGGAGAUAGCUGGUUCUCCCCGAAAUAGCUUUAGGGCUAGCCUCAAGGUGAGAGAUACGGAGGUAGAGCACUGAAUGUCCUAGGGGGUAUUGCACCUACCGAAGACUAUCAAACUCCGAAUGCCGUCAUCUUAUACUUGGGAGUCAGACUGUGGGUGAUAAGAUUCAUAGUCGAAAGGGCAACAGCCCAGAUCGUCAGCUAAGGUCCCUAAAUGUAAGUUAAGUGGUAAAGGAUGUGGGAUUGCACAGACAACCAGGAUGUUGGCUUAGAAGCAGCCACUCAUUCAAAGAGUGCGUAAUAGCUCACUGGUCGAGUGAUCCUGCGCCGAAGAUUUCCGGGGCUAAAACUUACUACCGAAGCUACGGCAUCAGUAAUGAUGGGUAGGGGAGCUUCCCAUACGGGUUGAAGCAUGACCGUAAGGACAUGUGGACAGUAUGGGAGUGAGAAUGUUGGCAUGAGUAGCGAGAUGUGGGUGAGAAUCCCACAGGCCGUAAACCCAAGGUUUCCAGGGGAAGGUUCGUCCGCCCUGGGUUAGUCGGGACCUAAGCUGAGGCCGAAAGGCGUAGGUGAUGGACAACAGGUUGA